rnacentral:rRNA from 1 species
GACGAACGCUGGCGGCGUGCUUAACACAUGCAAGUCGAACGGAAAGGCCUCUUUCGGGGGGUACUCGAGUGGCGAACGGGUGAGUAACACGUGAGUAACCUGCCCUUGACUUUGGGAUAACUUCAGGAAACUGGGGCUAAUACCGGAUAGGAGCUCCUGCUGCAUGGUGGGGGUUGGAAAGUUUCGGCGGUUGGGGAUGGACUCGCGGCUUAUCAGCUUGUUGGUGGGGUAGUGGCUUACCAAGGCUUUGACGGGUAGCCGGCCUGAGAGGGUGACCGGCCACAUUGGGACUGAGAUACGGCCCAGACUCCUACGGGAGGCAGCAGGGGGGAAUAUUGCACAAGGGGUGGAAGCCUGAUGCAGCAACGCCGGGUGCGGGAUGACGGCCUUCGGGUUGUAAACCGCUUUCGCUCAUGACGAAGCUUUGUGUGACGGUAGUGGGUAAAGAAGCACCGGCUAACUACGUG